rnacentral:rRNA from 1 species
AUCUCUUGGUUCCAGCAUCGAUGAAGAACGCAGCGAAAUGCGAUAAGUAAUGUGAAUUGCAGAACUCAGUGAAUCAUCGAAUCUUUGAACGCACAUUGCGCCCCUCGGUAUUCCGGGGGGCAUGCCUGUUCGAGCGUCAUU